rnacentral:rRNA from 1 species
ACUCAAAUGAAUUGACGGGGACCCGCACAAGCGGUGGAGCGUGUUCUUUAAUUCGACGCUAAGCGAAGAACCUUACCAGGGCUUGACAUCCUUGGAAUUUCUGCGAAAGCAGAAAGUGCCUUCGGGAACCAAGUGACAGGUACUGCAUGGCCGUCGUCAGCUCGUGUCGUGAGAUGUUUGGUUAAGUCCAUUAACGAGCGCAACCCUUAUGAUUAGUUGGAUUUUUCUAAUCAGACUGCCUCGGCAACGGGGAGGAAGGAGGGGAUGAUGUCAGGUCAUUAUUGUCCUUACGUCCUGGGCUAGAAACGCGCUACAAUGGCCGGUACAGAGGGCUGCCAACCCGUGAGGGGGAGCAAAUCCCAUCAAAGCCGGUCCCAGUUCGGAUUGCAGGCUGAAACUCGCCUGCAUGAAGCCGGAAUCGCUAGUAAUCGUGGGUCAGCACACCACGGUGAAUACGUUCCCGGGUCUUGUACACACCGCCCGU